UUCCGGUUGAUCCCGCCGGACCUUACUGCUAUCGGGGUGGGACUAAGACAUGCGAGUCGAGCGUCUCUAGCUAUGUUGAGACGCGGCAGACGGCUCAGUAACACGUGGCUAACCUACCCUCAGGACGAGGAUAAACCCGGGAAACUGGGGCUAAUACUCGAUAUGUGAAGAUGUCUGGAAUGAUUUCUCACUCAAAGGGCCUUGGAAACAUGCUUCCAUUGUCGCCUGGGGAUGGGGCCGCGUCCGAUCAGGUUGUUGGUGAGGUAAUGGCUCACCAAGCCUAUAACCGGUACGGGCCGUGAGAGCGGUAGCCCGGAGAUGGGUACUGAGACAAGGACCCUGGCCCUACGGGGCGCAGCAGUCGCGAAAACUCCGCAAUGCACGAAAGUGUGACGGGGCUACCCCGAGUGCCAUCCGCUGAGGAUGGCUUUUCCUUGGUAUAACUAGCCGAGGGAAUAAGGAGAGGGCAAGACUGGUGUCAGCCGCCGCGGUAAUACCAGCUCUCCGAGUGGUAGGGAUGAUUAUUGGGCUUAAAGCGUCCGUAGCCGGCUUAGCAAGUCUCCUGUUAAAUUCAGCGACCUAAUCGUUGACCCGCGGGAGAUACUACUAAGCUAGGAGGCGGGAGAGGUCGACGGUACUUCUAGGGUAGGGGUGAAAUCCUAUAAUCCUGGGAGGACCACCAGUGGCGAAGGCUGUCGACUAGAACGCGCUCGACGGUGAGGGACGAAAGCUGGGGGAGCGAACCGGAUUAGAUACCCGGGUAGUCCCAGCCGUAAACGAUGCGGGCUAGGUGUUGGGGUGGCUACGUGCCACUUCAGUGCCGCAGGGAAGCCAUUAAGCCCGCCGCCUGGGGAGUACGGCCGCAAGGCUGAAACUUAAAGGAAUUGGCGGGGGAGCACCACAAGGCGUGAAGCUUGCGGUUCAAUUGGAUUCAACGCCGGG
rnacentral:rRNA from 1 species